rnacentral:rRNA from 1 species
UAGGGAAUCUUCCGCAAUGGGCGAAAGCCUGCCGGAGCAACGCCGCGUGAGUGAUGAAGGUCUUCGGAUCGUAAAACUCUGUUAUUAGGGAAGAACAAAUGUGUAAGUAACUAUGCACGUCUUGACGGUACCUAAUCAGAAAGCCACGGCUAACUACGUGCCAGCAGCCGCGGUAAUACGUAGGUGGCAAGCGUUAUCCGGAAUUAUUGGGCGUAAAGCGCGCGUAGGCGGUUUUUUAAGUCUGAUGUGAAAGCCCACGGCUCAACCGUGGAGGGUCAUUGGAAACUGGAAAACUUGAGUGCAGAAGAGGAAAGUGGAAUUCCAUGUGUAGCGGUGAAAUGCGCAGAGAUAUGGAGGAACACCAGUGGCGAAGGCGACUUUCUGGUCUGUAACUGACGCUGAUGUGCGAAAGCGUGGGGAUCAAACAGG